rnacentral:misc_RNA from 1 species
GAUGAAGAACGCAGCGAAAUGCGAUAAGUAGUGUGAAUUGCAGAAUUCAGUGAAUCAUCGAAUCUUUGAACGCACAUUGCGCCCCUUGGUAUUCCAUGGGGCAUGCCUGUUCGAGCGUCAUUUGUACCUUCAAGCUUUGCUUGGUGUUGGGUGUUUGUCCUGCCUUUUGCGCAUAGACUCGCCUCAAAUCAAUUGGCAGUCGGCAAUCUGGCGUUAGAGCGCAGCACAUUUUGCGCUCUUCACUAUGUAUUGCGGCGUCCAUGAAGCCUAUAUUCUAGCGCUUGACCUCGGAUCAGGUAGGGAUACCCGCUGAACUUAAGCAUAUCAAUAAGCGGAGGA